rnacentral:rRNA from 1 species
GUGGGGAAUAUUGGACAAUGGGCGCAAGCCUGAUCCAGCAAUGCCGCGUGGAUGGAGAAGGUCUUCGGAUUGUAAAGUCCUUUCGACGGGGACGAUGAUGACGGUACCCGUAGAAGAAGCCCCGGCUAACUUCGUGCCAGCAGCCGCGGUAAUACGAAGGGGGCUAGCGUUGCUCGGAAUUACUGGGCGUAAAGGGCGCGUAGGCGGCAUGACAAGUCAGGCGUGAAAUUCCCGGGCUCAACCUGGGGACUGCGCUUGAGACUGUUGAGCUAGAGGACGGAAGAGGGUCGUGGAAUUCCCAGUGUAGAGGUGAAAUUCGUAGAUAUUGGGAAGAACACCGGUGGCGAAGGCGGCGACCUGGUCCGUUACUGACGCUGAGGCGCGACAGCGUGGGGAGCAAACAGGAUUAGAUACCCUGGUAGUCCACGCCGUAAACGAUGUGCGCUGAAUGUUGGGGUUCUUAGAAUCUCAGUGUUGUAGCUAACGCGGUAAGCGCACCGCCUGGGGAGUACGGCCGCAAGGU